CCCUUCGGGGUUAGUGGCGCACGGGUGCGUAACGCGUGGGAAUCUGCCCUUGGGUUCGGAAUAACUCGCCGAAAGGCGUGCUAAUACCGGAUGAUGUCGAAAGACCAAAGAUUUAUCGCCCAAGGAUGAGCCCGCGUAAGAUUAGGUAGUUGGUGAGGUAAAGGCUCACCAAGCCGACGAUCUUUAGCUGGUCUGAGAGGAUGAUCAGCCACACUGGGACUGAGACACGGCCCAG
rnacentral:rRNA from 1 species